GACGAACGCUGGCGGCGUGCCUAAUACAUGCAAGCCGAGCGCAGGAAACUGACGGAACUCUUCGGAGGGAAGGCAGUGGAAUGAGCGGCGGACGGGUGAGUAACACGUAAGGAACCUGCCUCAAGGAUUGGGAUAACUCCGAGAAAUCGGAGCUAAUACCGGAUAGUUCAACGGACCGCAUGGUCCGCUGAUGAAAGGCGCUCCGGCGUCACCUUGAGAUGGCCUUGCGGUGCAUUAGCUAGUUGGUGGGGUAACGGCCCACCAAGGCGACGAUGCAUAGCCGACCUGAGGGGGUGAUCGGCCACACUGGGACUGAGACACGGCCCAGACUCCUACGGGAGGCAGCAGUAGGGAAUCUUCCACAAUGGACGAAAGUCUGAUGGAGCAACGCCGCGUGAGUGAUGAAGGUUUUCGGAUCGUAAAACUCUGUUGUAAGGGAAGAACACGUACGAGAGGAAAUGCUCGUACCUUGACGGUACCUUACGAGAAAGCCACGGCUAACUACGUGCCAGCAGCCGCCGCCG
rnacentral:rRNA from 1 species